GCUGACCCUCAGAUAUGGACACGCUGCGAGAGAAGGAGGACGUGUAGCUGUUGCCUCUCCCCCUCCUGUCUGGCCUCGCUGUGUGGAUCAUCCUCUAAAGUGUGAACAUUAUUAGGGGACCAGUAUCGGAUGAGCGGGUGGAUGGAGUUAGGCGGUGGCUGGAUGAAGAUGGGUAUGUUUUGUGGAUUUUCAGAAAACUUUUGAUACGGUAAAACACAGACAUUUGCUGAAAACGUGAAGAAAAGUAGGCAAUGGUGGAAAGAACUUCAGACUCUUUCAACUCUCAACUGGAGUCAAAAGGCUGUUGUACGAAUUGGGAGCAUGACAGAGUGGUUGGAAAUUACGAAAAAGGUGAGACAACGUUGUAUUUUGUCCCCAGACUUCUCUUUGUACCAACAAAAGGUUAUGGCUGACUUGGUUGACUUAAAACGUGGACAAUAAGUAUGAAGAUGAAUAGAAUGGAAGCAACAGAGAUGUGGUUUACCAAAAGAGUGUUAAGAAUAUCUUGUGUGGCGAGAGAGUAAUGGUGGUGGCUGGUACUGGAAGUUAAUUAAUGAGAACAAUAAGAACUACACUGUUAAGAUUUGGUGGGCACCUGGUAAAAGAGGACGGAUUGGAAAAACACGUUGUUGGGAAUGGUGAAAGGCCGAAGAGCAAGAGGAAAACAGAAUAAAGCAUAUGGACAGCUUACUAGAGGAUAAUUCCACGCGUCACAAAAGUGGUCGACUUGAUAAAAUUGGCUGAGGACAGACAGUGGCGGCGUUCCAUGGUCGCCCACGACAAAAAAGACAUGGUAUUGCGGUAAGAUAAGGAUGGAGCGUGGAGUCGGAACGCCUGGAUGGAUGAAGCGAGGAGUCAUCGGCGUGGAUGAAUGAAGCGAGGAGCAGAGUGGGUGGAUAGAUGAAGCGAGGAGUCAGCAGGUGGAUGGAUGAAGAGAGGAGUCGAGCUGGUAGAUAGAUGGAGCGUAAUCGAGCGGGUGGAUGGACAAAGCAAGACAGCAUAUGAAAAGGACGUUUUGUAUUGUGUUUGUGGCAUGCAGUUUUAGAUAAUCCCCAGUAGAGAUAGAGUAGAGAUAAUGAUGUAUACGAAUACUCAUGAAAUAAAAGACGAAGUUGUAUUGAUACGGUGGUAUUAAACUAUGGUAAAAUU